AUUAUCUGUGCUGAAAGUUGCAUCGGCACUCCCAUCUUUACAAACCCUACAAUAGAGACUUCUGCCGUUUUUGCUCAGCAGAACAUGGAUGUGAUCAUCAAGCAGGAACUUGUGCUACUAGUGAACUUUUGGCUGUGGACCUCAGGUGUGACUGCUGGCAGUGAUGUCGACCAGCCGGCCAUGCUGUGGAGAAACCAGGGUGACAACGCAACCAUCAGCUGCAAACAGUCCAAGGGUGCUGGCUACUACCAGAUGUACUGGUACCGACAGCUGCCUGGGGAAAUGAUGAAACAAGUAGUUUACACUAUGGCAAACUCCAAACCUGACUUCGAGCCUGAAUUCAAACUGGGUGAAAAGUUCUCAGUCGCUAAGCCUGAUGCUGAGAGCGGGACGUUCACCGUGCAUAAACUGGUGCCAGGAGAUCAAGGCCUGUAUUUCUGUGCCGUCAGUGAGCACAGUGAUACGAACGAGCUGAGAGGCUGAACAAAAACCUCUGAGCUGUUGGCACACGGAUAACGUUUCACCUCGUGUAUCGUCGGGGGAGGAUGACAGAUACCACAAAUACUCAACUCCUGUUUUAUUCAUCACUUUGAAGUCCAUGUGUAACCGUUUAUCCCCCUCCUGCAGGUGGGGAAUACUUGUCUGUUGUUUCAAAACACAAACACUGCGAAAUAUGACUGAACGUAACUUCUUGAUGUCAGUUAUAAUCUAAACCAGGAGUCUGCAACUGUUAUGUUUCCAAAGGCUUUUCGAUUAUAAGCCCUCAGUCCAGCUAAAUGAAAGCUAUUUGGAGC